rnacentral:rRNA from 1 species
UUCGUAGGCGGUCUGUUAAGUCAGAGGUGAAAUUUAUCGGCUCAACCGAUAACCUGCCUUUGAAACUGGCAGACUUGAGUAUUGGAGAGGAAAGCGGAAUUCUUGGUGUAGCGGUGAAAUGCGUGGAUAUCAAGAGGAACACCCGUGGCGAAGGCGGCUUUCUGGCCAAAUACUGACGCUGAGGAACGAAAGCUAGGGGAGCGAACAGGAUUAGAUACCCUGGUAGUCC